UGCCCAGCAACUCCUAUUCCUACCUCUUGGUGGUACUGGCCGGGGUACGAGUAACCUUGGGGAAGAUCGGGUAACCAACCCCGGUGGGAACUUUGGUCAUAUCACAGGGCUGG
rnacentral:ribozyme from 1 species